rnacentral:rRNA from 1 species
AUGGAGGCGGAAACGAGGCCGUCUGAGGCAAUCGCCGAUCCUCCGCGGUCGGCGCGCUCCUCGCCCGUAGGCGGCGCAGGGGGCCCGUCCCGGAUCGGCUCUCGCUCUCGUUCUCUCAGUCCUCGCGCGGGAUCUGGCGGGGACCAUGUCGCCUCGCCGCAGCUUGUCAGUGGACGGGAGGAGAGGCGAUGGAAUCAAUGGCGGGCUUCUUUUGCCGAUAGGUCGGAUCCAGGCGUAUGGAUCGAAGGGCGCCUUCGACUCACGUUGCCUUCGCGCUGGAUGGCGCUCCUCGAUCUGGAGAACGAAGUGCUCGCCGGCGACUACCUUCCGGACGACGACGUGAUUGAGGUGGGGUUUCAAUUCAAUUUUGAUUCUUAUUGCGUGGUUGUCGGCGAUUGCGUGCAGAUCGACGUACGCACAAGGGCAACGCACAAGGGCAACGGAGAUGAUUGA